UAGAGUUUGAUCCUGGCUCAGAUUGAACGCUGGCGGCAUGCUUUACACAUGCAAGUCGAACGGCAGCGCGGGGCAACCUGGCGGCGAGUGGCGAACGGGUGAGUAAUAUAUCGGAACGUACCCAAGAGUGGGGGAUAACGUAGCGAAAGUUACGCUAAUACCGCAUACGAUCUACGGAUGAAAGUGGGGGACCGCAAGGCCUCAUGCUCCUGGAGCGGCCGAUAUCUGAUUAGCUAGUUGGUGAGGUAAAGGCUCACCAAGGCGACGAUCAGUAGCUGGUCUGAGAGGACGACCAGCCACACUGGGACUGAGACACGGCCCAGACUCCUACGGGAGGCAGCAGUGGGGAAUUUUGGACAAUGGGCGCAAGCCUGAUCCAGCAAUGCCGCGUGAGUGAAGAAGGCCUUCGGGUUGUAAAGCUCUUUUGUCAGGGAAGAAACGGCUCCGGCUAAUAUCCGGGGCUAAUGACGGUACCUGAAGAAUAAGCACCGGCUAACUACGUGCCAGCAGCCGCGGUAAUACGUAGGGUGCAAGCGUUAAUCGGAAUUGCUGGGCGUAAAGCGUGCGCAGGCGGUUUUGUAAGUCUGUCGUGAAAGCCCCGGGCUUAACCUGGGAAUUGCGAUGGAGACUGCAAGGCUUGAAUCUGGCAGAGGGGGGUAGAAUUCCACGUGUAGCAGUGAAA
rnacentral:rRNA from 1 species